rnacentral:other from 1 species
UUUAGCCUGAAAUGUCCGGAUAACCUAUUAUUUUGAACCUACCAUCGUUAAUAUGGGAGUCCGGGGUUUGAGAGCAGAUGCCAGACCACAACCUAAUUCCGACACACGUCCUGUACGUGUUCGGCGGUGGUAGACAGAAGCUUUCAACAGGACACCCACCUAGCCUCGGGCUAGGUGUCAAAAUAUAGGGAAACGGCUUUUCGGGUUUAUU